UACGUAGGGUGCGAGCGUUAAUCGGAAUUACUGGGCGUAAAGCGUGCGCAGGCGGUUCGUUAAGUCAGCUGUGAAAGCCCCGGGCUCAACCUGGGAAUUGCGGUUGAAACUGGCGAACUAGAAUCUGGCAGAGGGGGGUGGAAUUCCACGUGUAGCAGUGAAAUGCGUAGAGAUGCGGAGGAACACCGAUGGCGAAGGCAGCCCCCUGGGCUGACACUGACGCUCAGGCACGAAAGCGUGGGGAGCAAACAGG
rnacentral:rRNA from 1 species